CCAGGUCUAAACCAGGUCUAAACCAAGUCUAAACCAGAACUAAACCAGGUCUAAACCAGGACUAAACCAGGACUAAACCAGGUCUAAACCAGGUCUAAACCAGGUCUAAACCAGGACUAAACCAGGACUAAACCAGGUCUAAACCAGGACUAAACCAGGACUAAAUCAGGACUAAACCAGGUCUAAACCAGGACUAAACCAGGUCUAAACCAGGACUAAACCAGGUCUAAACCAGGACUAAACCAGGACUAAACCAGGUCUAAACCAGGACUAAACCAGGUCUAAACCAGGACUAAACCAGGAUUAAACCAGGUCUAAACCAGGACUAAACCAGGACUAAACCAGGACUAAACCAGGUCUAAACCAGGACUAAACCAGGACUAAACCAGAACUAAACCAGGACUAACCUAGGACUAAACUAG
ensembl:lncRNA